AGUGACGCAACGCACAUGCGCCUGACUGCAAGGCGAGCUCGGAACCGGCUGGUCGCGUGCGCUUCCGGAAGUGGCCGCGUCCUCAGCAUGCUGGCGGAGCUCGGUUUCAUCGGGACCAUCGGCGAAGAUGACGAGGUGCCGGCGGAGCCCGAGUCGGACUCCGGGGACGAGGAGGAGGAGGGGCCCAUUGUACUGGGCCGUAAGCAGAAAGCCUUGCAGAAGAACCGAAGUGCUGACUUCAACCCGGAUUUUGUUUUCACGGAGAAGGAGGGCAUGUAUGAUGGCAGCUGGGCCCUGGCUGAUGUCAUGAGCCAGCUCAAGAAGAAGAGGGCAGCCACAACCCUAGAUGAGAAGAUUGAGAAAGUACGGAAGAAAAGGAAAGCAGAGGAUAAGGAAGCCAAGUCUGGGAAGGUAGAGGAGAAAGAAGGCAGGGAGAGCUGUGAUCUGAAGGGGCAGGAGGAUCUGGGAGGGAAUGAGGCAGACUCCAAGGACGAAGACUCUGAGACUGACUACUCCUCUGGGGAUGAGGAGGUCCUCACUAAAGCAGACACACUGAAAGUGAAGGAGAAGAAGAAGAAGAAGAAGAAGAAGAAGGGCCAGGAAGCAGGAGGAUUCUUUGAAGAUGCCUCUGAGUAUGACAAAAGCCUCUCCUUCCAGGACAUGAAUCUGUCCCGGCCCCUCCUGAAGGCCAUUACAGCCAUGGGCUUCAAGCAGCCCACCCCAAUCCAGAAGGCUUGUAUCCCUGUGGGUCUGCUGGGAAAAGACAUCUGCGCCUGUGCAGCCACUGGGACAGGCAAAACUGCAGCUUUUGCGUUGCCUGUCUUGGAGCGUCUGAUCUACAAGCCCCGCCAGGCUGCAGUCACUCGAGUGCUGGUGCUGGUCCCUACCAGAGAGCUGGGCAUCCAGGUGCACUCCGUCACCAAGCAGCUGGCCCAGUUCUGCAGUGUCACUACAUGCCUGGCUGUGGGUGGCCUGGAUGUGAAGUCUCAGGAAGCUGCUCUUCGGGCAGCACCAGACAUCCUCAUUGCCACACCUGGCCGGCUCAUCGACCACCUGCACAACUGCCCUUCGUUCCACCUGAGCAGCAUUGAAGUGCUCAUCCUGGAUGAGGCUGACAGAAUGCUGGAUGAAUAUUUUGAGGAGCAGAUGAAGGAGAUUAUUCGAAUGUGUUCCCACCACCGCCAGACCAUGCUCUUUUCAGCCACCAUGACAGAUGAGGUGAAAGAUCUGGCUUCCGUCUCCUUAAAGAACCCUGUGCGGAUAUUUGUGAACAGCAACACAGACGUAGCUCCCUUUCUUCGGCAAGAGUUCAUACGGAUCCGGCCUAACAGGGAAGGGGACCGGGAAGCAAUUGUGGCAGCUUUACUGAUGAGAACCUUCACUGACCACGUGAUGCUGUUCACCCAGACCAAGAAGCAGGCUCACCGCAUGCACAUUCUGCUGGGGCUGCUGGGGCUGCAGGUGGGCGAGCUCCAUGGCAACUUGUCACAGACACAGCGGCUGGAGGCCCUCCGGCGCUUUAAGGAUGAACAGAUUGACAUCCUGGUGGCCACAGAUGUGGCAGCACGUGGGCUUGACAUUGAAGGAGUGAAAACAGUGAUCAACUUCACCAUGCCCAACACUGUCAAGCACUAUGUGCACCGGGUAGGGCGAACUGCACGUGCUGGCAGGGCUGGGCGCUCUGUCUCUCUGGUGGGAGAAGAGGAGCGGAAGAUGCUGAAGGAGAUUGUGAAGGCUGCCAAGGCUCCAGUGAAGGCACGGAUCAUCCCCCAGGACGUCAUCCUCAAAUUCCGGGACAAGAUUGAGAAAAUGGAGAAAGAUGUGUACGCAGUGCUGCGGCUAGAGGCAGAGGAAAAAGAGAUGCAGCAGUCAGAGGCCCAGAUAGACACAGCAAAGCGGCUCUUGGAGAAGGGGAAGGAGACAGCAGACCAGGAGCCUGAGAGGAGCUGGUUCCAGACCAAAGCAGAGAGGAAGAAGGAGAAGAUUGCCAAGGCUCUGCAGGAGUUUGAUUUGGCCUUGAGAGGAAAGAAGAAAAGAAAGAAGUUUAUGAAGGAUGCCAAGAAGAAGGGGGAGAUGACUGCAGAGGAGAGGUCCCAGUUUGAAAUCCUCAAGGCACAGAUGUUUGCAGAGCGGUUGGCCAAGAGAAACCGCAGAACCAAGCGAGCACGGGCAAUGCCCGAGGAAGAGCCUGCAGCAGGCCGUGCCAAGCAUCAAAAGCAGCAGAAGAAGUCUGUGUUUGAUGAAGAACUCACCAACACAAGCAAGAAGGCCCUGAAGAAGUACCGAGCUGGCCCUUCCUUUGAAGAGAGGAAACAGUUAGGUCUGUCCCGCCAGAGAAGAGGGAACUUCAAAUCCAAGUCCAGGUACAAGAGAAAGAAGUGACCCAGUGGCAUGGAGAACUUGAUGGGACAAUUUUAUAUCCCUUCCCCGUGGGAAGUCAUCUUGUCUUGGGAGCCAACCCUGGCUCUGAGGUGGCAGGGCAAAAGGCCUCGAGGUGCCAUCUUUUACAUCAUCCUGCGGAUCUCCUCGAAGUUCAUCAGAUUGUUGGCUGUGUCUGACCACGCGGGGUGCUGGGCGCCAUCCAUCU